CGGCCGCUACGUACCGCGCGCGGCACCGAGGGUCCCGCAGCGGGCCGGGCUGCUGUCCUCUGAAGGGCUGACUCUAGGGCAGAAGAUACUCAAAAUUAGUUACGUUUAACCCAAUGCAGUUGUCUCUGUCUACAGCAAACACAAUAGUCCAAAUCAUUUGGCUUUGUUACUUUACAGCGAAAAAUUUUGCUCAAUGUUUAACGUACUUCUCAGCAUCUUCAACAAGGCCAACAAUACCGAGUUUCAAAGUGAACUUCGCAAUUAAGGGAACGGCGUCGUGCGUGAGGGCUUCUCCAGCAGGCUGGCUCGGCGGUGCUUGCCUCCUCGCGCAAGGCCGUGCGAGAGGCAGCUUUCGGGUCGGUCUCCUAGGCCUGCUAGCACAGCAAAGCUGCCAUCAAGGAGAGGAAAACUGAGCACUAAUCCUACCACUACUACUAAACAAGCAAAUAGUCUUCUGUGCAGAGAUACAGAGAAAUUAAGGGGAGUUUCAGAAUGCUUUAACAAAUAUUUACUAUUUAAUCUGCUUUCUUACUACGAGGGAUUUGACUUUUAAUGGUGCUGUAUGACUUCAACAACAACCAGGGAUGUCUGUCCCUGAAUCUCGGUCCUGAGUUCUUAAAACCACCUAAGAGAGGUCAGACACAAUUUAUUCACUUGUAUCUUGAAAUGCCAGUUUGCAACCUAGAAUAAUCUAUUACCACCUAUACUUAAGUUUGUUUUUUCCCUGUCUGGAUGAGUCUUACUCAUGCAGUACUGUUACACACGCUAUAAAUCAGUAAACGCCUUGGUCUUGUGAGGUGCUUGAGCACCCAUUUUUAGUAGCAAUGCUGAGCAUCUUGCAAAGACAAGGCCUCAAAUCUUUGACAUUAUCUCUACAUUAGAGACCUUCAGCAAGUAAAUCCAAUGGUUGCUAUAGUAAGAAUUCAGUUUACAUUAAAUAUUUCAGUGAACAGACUUACAAAACUUGCAGAAACCGGUAAACACAAGUCCAGACUGCUUGCUGGCAGCCUGAACCCAGUUACACAAUUUUUGAUUUAUUUUUUAGUGUUUGAAAAGUUGAACAUGUUGGCGCAUGACAUACUCAUCUCUUAUCACUCUCCGUCUGUAUGUAGGAUGUAAAAUCUUUGCGAGAGAGAUGUGGAGGUGGGGGAAGUCCCUUUAACAAAGAAGAAAAUCAAUAUUCUACAGCACUAAAAGUUAUAUAUUUCAAUGCA